rnacentral:rRNA from 1 species
UACGGGGGGGGCAAGCGUUGUUCGGAAUUACUGGGCGUAAAGGGCUCGUAGGCGGCCAACUAAGUCAGACGUGAAAUCCCUCGGCUUAACCGGGGAACUGCGUCUGAUACUGGAUGGCUCGAGUUUGGGAGAGGGAUGCGGAAUUCCAGGUGUAGCGGUGAAAUGCGUAGAUAUCUGGAGGAACACCGGUGGCGAAGGCGGCAUCCUGGACCGGCACUGACGCUGAGGCACGAAAGCGUGGGGAGCAAACAGG